rnacentral:rRNA from 1 species
UGGGGAAUUUUGGACAAUGGGCGCAAGCCUGAUCCAGCAAUGCCGCGUGCAGGAUGAAGGCCUUCGGGUUGUAAACUGCUUUUGUACGGAACGAAACGGCUCUGGUUAAUACCUGGGGCUAAUGACGGUACCGUAAGAAUAAGCACCGGCUAACUACGUGCCAGCAGCCGCGGUAAUACGUAGGGUGCAAGCGUUAAUCGGAAUUACUGGGCGUAAAGCGUGCGCAGGCGGUUAUGUAAGACAGAUGUGAAAUCCCCGGGCUCAACCUGGGACCUGCAUUUGUGACUGCAUAGCUAGAGUACAGCAGAGGGGGAUGGAAUUCCGCGUGUAGCAGUGAAAUGCGUAGAUAUGCGGAGGAACACCGAUGGCGAAGGCAAUCCCCUGGGCCUGUACUGUCGCUCAUGCACGAAAGCGUGGGGAGCAAACA